rnacentral:lncRNA from 1 species
GUUGAAUACCACUAAGCUGUACUGCGUACCGCCGUACUACGGCCAUUUACGACACGUGUUACCGCGGCAACGCGACCUGCUUUACGGCAACGCGACCGAACUGCUCUAGGGCAACGCGACCUGCUUUACGGCAAUCCGAGCUGCUUUAAUGCAACGCGACCUGCUUUGCUUUACGGCAACGCGCGAUGCAGUUUCACUUUACGGCAUAAGCCUAUGGGUUUCUAUGGGACCCCUGUCUGUCUCUAUGGGUCUCUAUGGGUCCCUAUGGGUCUCUAUGGGUCCCUAUGGGGUCUCUAUGGGUCUCUAUGGGUCUCUAUGGGUCUCUAUGGGGUCCCUAUGGGUCCCUAUGGGUCUCUAUGGGUCUCUAUGGGUCCCCAUUCAUCCCUAUGGGGUCCCCAUGUAUCCCUAUGGGUUUCUAUGGGGUUUCUAUGGGGUCCCUAUGGGUCUCUAUGGGGUCGCUAUGGGUCUCUAUGGGUCUCUAUGGGGUCUCUAUGGGUCCCUAUGGUUCUCUAUGGGGUCCCCAUGUAUCUCUAUGGGUCCCUAUGGGUCUCUAUGGGUCCCUAUGGUUCUCUAUGGUUCUCUAUGGGGUCCCUAUGGUUUUCUAUGGGGUCUCUAUGGGUCUCUAUGGGGCAUUAUGGGGUCCCUAUGGGUCUCUAUGGGUCUCUAUGGGUCCCUAUGUGUCCCUGUGUGUCCCUAUGGGUCUCUAUGGGUCCCUAUGGGUCUCUAUGGGUCCCUAUGGGUCUCUAUGGGUCCCUAUGUAUCCCUAUGGUUCCCUAUGUGUCUCUAUGGGUCCCUAUGGGUCUCUAUGGGUCCCUAUGGGUCCCUAUGGCUCCCUAUGUCCCCCUAUGUAUCUCUAUGGGGUCUCUAUGGGUCUCUAUGUAUCCCUAUUGGUUCCCUAUGGGGUCUCUAUGGGUCUCUAUGGGUCCCUAUGGGUCCCUAUGGGUCUCCAUGGGGUCCCUAUGUAUCCCUAUGGGUCCCUAUGUAUCCCUAUGUGUCUCACUCAAUGGCGGGCAGCAGAUACUGUUUCCGCAGCGCCUCGAAGUGCGGCCCGAGGUUCGCGCUCCCUUCGAUGACGAACACGACGUCGGCCACCAUGGCGGAAGGACCGGAAACCACCAUGGAUCCGCUUCCGGGUCGGCCUAAGAACCGGAAGCGGAAGUAG